CUGAGUCUUGUUUCUCAGGACUGGAAGCCAAACUUUGUUUACUUUCAGGGUUUCUUCUUUCCAUUUGAUUUUGUGGAUUUCAAUGGCUUCUCUGUGCAUUCUGACCUGAUAUUUGUUGUUCAGCACUGUGGACAGCUUCUUAAAAGGUAGCCAAGACCUGGAAUAGAUUUACAGCACUGACAUGGGAUUCAUCAUGUGCAAUUGGUUGGAACUAACAACAGGAUUCCAGCAAUUAAGCUCCACCACAGAUAGAUGAGCCUCCUUUAUAUCCACAGCUAUUGCAGAAAGAUUGGACCUUCAGGUGAGGACUCAUUGUUGUUUGACGUCUCUGUGCGACGCUCUGCAGCAUGGAAAGCCUAUGUGGCAAAAUACCUGGCCAGGAGACAAAUUCCAGCUGGCAAAAACUCCUUCUGAGAGCAUGAAUUACCUACAUGUGCAAAAAAAUGUUGCUUCUCAUGAGGAAACCACUGAUUUCUUAGUGGCUGGAAAUAAACUGAGCAGCAGAAGGUGGGUGGAAUUAACAUCAAAUUCAAGCAACUCAGGUGAGUCUUUAAAGGACACAGGACCAGCAAAAAUCCUCACUUUCUUAACCAUUUUGAACUACCUGAACAGUGCCAGGCAGAAUCUGAAAAUAAUAAAGGUAAAAAUCUAAA